GACUCGAAAAACAAAACUUCACAGAUAUUUUUUCCUCGUUUUCACCAUUUUCGCCGUCGUAACCUACGAUUCGCCUUAUCCACUCUACACCAUGGUCUUCUCAUCCCUCCGGGCCGCCAACACUUCCUCCAGCCACAUAAUCGCCAUCGGAAGCUUCCUCGACGAUUAAAACAACCGCAUCGACAUCUUCUCUUUUGAUUCCGAUCCGAUGACCGUGAAGCCUCUCUCCAAUCUCUCCUUCGAGCAUCCUUAUCCUCCAACGAAGCUAAUGUUCAAUCCUUCUUCUCUCCGUCGUCCUUCAUCCGGAGAUCUACUCGAUUCUUCUACCAUUGAGCAUUGAGCCUAUCUCGGUUCUCAACAGUAGCAAAACGAGUCUACUCUUCAGAACCACAGAAAGAGUCUAAGCCUCUCUCACAUGCGUUAAGAGAAGACAGAACAUCCCAUGUGCGUUUAUGAGCAGCUCCACUGUCCUAAAAGCUGGAAUCAAUCACAAAGUUAUUAACUUUAUAGUCUCUUAUUUGUAAUUUCCAUUUCCUCUUCUAAAUACACCACUUUAAAUUUCAUUCGACCUAUGAGUUUUAUGAAUGAUGUAACCUAAACACAAUAACGAUAUUGCUCCCCCAUGAAGUUGCUAUUUUCGGGACUGUAAGUUGUCUUGUAUUAUGGUGAGACUGAGUUUCUCGAUAAACUGGAGAUGGUGACUAUUGAUGGCUGCAAGAAAGGUCAAGUUCAGUUUAUUUCAGUUUCCAUUAGAUGGUAUUCACAGGCAACUCAAGUGCACAUGGUAGAGUUGGUGCCACCGCUGUCGUUUGCUGCUUCAAUCCUUCAUCCUUGAGUUCUUGACUGUCGAGGUUCUUGAGUUAGCUGGAAACGCUAGCAAAUAUCUGAAAGUGAAGAGUAUAGCUCCAUGGCCUUUGCAGUUGGUCAUGAGAGGAUGUGGGAAUGAUAAGUUUAGGACAUGAUUUUGUGUUUUUGUUUAUGAAUUGGUUUGAUGGUUACAUGUUCUCUUCUAGAGUCCAUGUUUGUAGUUCACUUUGUAUGUUUUUUUAAUGGAAAAGAAUUUGUAAUUUAUGAUU